GCACAAGCGGUGGAGUAUGUGGUUUAAUUCGAUGCAACGCGAAGAACCUUACCUGGUCUUGACAUCCCGGAGACCCUUAGGAAACUAGGGGGUGCUUCCAUCUGGAAGAAUCUGGAGACAGGUGCUGCAUGGCUGUCGUCAGCUCGUGUCGUGAGAUGUUGGGUUAAGUCCCGCAACGAGCGCAACCCUUGCCUUUAGUUGCCAGCAGUUCGGCUGGGCACUCUAAAGGGACUGCCGGUGUUAAACCGGAGGAAGGUGGGGAUGACGUCAAGUCCUCAUGGCCUUUAUGACCAGGGCUACACACGUACUACAAUGGCCGAUACAAAGGGCAGCGACACUGCGAGGUGGAGCCAAUCCCGUAAAAUCGGUCUCAGUCCGGAUUGGAGUCUGCAACUCGACUCCAUGAAGUUGGAAUCGCUAGUAAUCGUGGAUCAGCAUGCCACGGUGAAUACGUUCCCGGGCCUU
rnacentral:rRNA from 1 species